UCCUUUGGUAGUAUAGUGGUUAGUAGCCGCGUCUGUCAUAUGUGAGACCCGGGUUUCAAUUCACGGCCGGGGAG